ensembl:lncRNA
CUCGAAGUGUUUCUGUAGAGGUGAAGACCUGCAGGAGCAGCGAGAGCUGCAACAGGAUCCUUCAAACAGGAACUAACUGUUACUUCCUGUUUCUGUUCGCUGAGAUUUUUUGGAGAUUUUUGCUGUGGGUGGGUUUGGGGCCUCCACUUCCCCAUCGUGGGUCAGUUGAGUCCUCGGUUGGCGCUGGUAGGUGUGGUUAGUUUUUUAUUUAUUGUUUGUUGGUGUCACAGGUGGGAUCAGCUUCUGUGUUUGAUAGAGGAACUGUAAAAAUACAAGUCCCCGCCUCUUGCGGCGCUGUUUAGUCAUUUGCACUCGGGUUCGAUUCCCCCUCUCUCUGUGCGCAAAAUUUGCUUGUUCAGGUGUGAACACAGUGAUACCACACAGGUAUAACCCAAAACACCCGCACCGAGUCGCACCAAAUGACCUCCAGAGCGGUUGGUUUACGGCGUGAACGCGAUCCAAGCUAGACGUUACCAGUCUGAGAAAAUGUGCCGUAGCCACGCAGGCUGUGGAACUGUAGGUGUGCACAGGGCGGUGUGGCUAGCAGCGAGCUGGGAGAUGAACCUAAAGGGGCGGUCCAAAUUCAUAGACCGAAUGCAGCAGACAAAUGUGUCCUUCAUUUCCCUUGAUUUGAAGGAUGGGUUGGGUGACUCCUUCGUUGCCUAACCUAUCCCAGCAUUCCAGUUUCCAACAAUGGCGGAAGCUACUAAGUUUUAAUAUUACUCUUAUUAUUCUUUCUGGGUCACAAAAUAAACUUUUAACAUAUUUUCAGGCGAAGAAUGUAGCUGUGUAAACUUCAAAUGUCUGCUCAGUUUAUCAAGAAAUCGCAUAUUUGCAAAAGUGCUCCGACUUUUUUCAGAGACGUCUGUUACCCACCAGCUCGAUAGCUAGCGGGGGGGUUCAAUGGUCACUCGAGCCGGCAAGAGCAGCGGACUCCCGAAUCAUCGUUUUCAGCCCCCCGCGGUCUUUGGCUACUCAGGUUAAACAUGAUAUAUAAGUCAGUUAGAUAACUUAAAAAUGUUGUUGUUUGGCUUUUUCAGUGUUUUAUUUGUUCCUGAGUAAAUCGGUUUGGCUGAGAUUAAAGUUAUAGUUUUUACACAGCUGAAUAAACAGACGUGUGAGACGGUCGAGAGUUUACUCCAGUGUCCUGUUAUAUUUUAGAUAGCAAGGAGCAGACGGCUGAGUUUAUUAAACUCCACCGAGACAGCGGUGACGCAGAUCUGAAGGCUAGACCGUCCCAUUUCACAGUCGCUCACUUCUGACCUUCUCGGUCUUCUGAGGACCCGGCCCACGUAGACCGCGAAGGCCGGGUCCUGAGGAGGACGCAGCCUAUGAAUUUGGACACCCCUAUUCCCAGUUUCCUCGCACACUUCCUGUAUUCACUGUUGUUGUUCCCACCCCAGACACAUCUGGCCAAUGAGCAGACUGAACUCUCCGAGCUUACAGACAAAACCAACUGCAGGCAGGAAGUGAUGCUGACCUCGCCCAAAUUGGGACUUGCAGCAAAGUCAAGUGAGCCAGUUCACCUGUGAGGGUGGAGGUCAGAGGCUGCGGUGCACCAGCAGGGUCACGACACUGACCUGUGAUGGCCUCACCAUCGCUCUUAUGUCUGUGACGGUGGAAACUCAAGAAGAACAAAGAGGCAUCCUGCAGUGCUGCAGUGGGAGGGCCUCAACAUGGGUGGGUUUCCUGUGGCUCCGACCUGCCAGAGCGAGCCGGGGUCUCACACAGGACAGGACUGUUCUACGAUGAAGAGUGAGGAUGAGGAUGUGUCUGAGUGUUUUGUAGACAUGUGCCUCUGCUCUGUUCCCUUUAGAGCUCCAUCAAUAAAGUUCAGUAAAGCCGCUCGACUCCCUUGUCUGUCUUUCAAAGUCACCUGGAGGUCGUUGCCUCCUGAUUGGUUUGUUCCAUCGAUGCCAGAGCAAUGGCUGCUUUAUCCUCUUCACAGAGACCUGACAUCAGGUAACACAGUCAAGGUGUAAACUGAUGUCAGCACGUUAAUCUCAUAUUUGAUACUCGCCUGCAAACCACCGACGCUGGACUGGUGUCCUGGUGGGAACCAGCUCCUGCCACUGCAGUGGGUCCACUGGUGUGGAGGUGUGGCCCAGGACACCUUAGCAGAGCUUCUAGCACGCGCGUUGUGAAGAUGACGAUAUAGCAGUGCCUGCAGGGGGCACUCCCCUCUCUGUAAGCAUGAGUGUGUGAUCUGAGCUUCCUGACGCAUUUGUGCUGCAGUCGCUGCUUUCAGGCCUCGCUGAGCUAAACUCAGAGGUUAUUGUUAGUCAGGUGACCGAUUAACCUCCGUGCUGCUAAACUCCCACAAUUCCUAGCUGUGGGGAAGGUGUGCUGAUUGGUGCGUCACCGUGCAAACGUGUUGGAGUUUAAAUCUGUACAUGUUUGAUGGCAGCCAGCUCAAAACCGACACCUCUGCCACUGUGGCACUACACUUCCCAUCCGCCUCUUGCUUCCUUCUGUCUCUGCUCCCGUCUUUGGUCCACAGCCUUUUGUUCAAAGCUCUCUCACCUGUCUGCUCCCACCUGCACGCCCCGCCCCUUGUUUCCUCCUCCUCCAUCAUUUUUGCCACUUCUUGUUUUCAUCUUUGCGUUGCCAUGGUUUCAGUUAUUUUACCUGUUGAUUUCGUUUUCCAUCCGUUCCCCCUGCCCCUCGCUGUGUCUUCUUCUGUGGUGUUUGUCUGUGCAGAGUCAGUUGUGUCUUCCUCUUCACAUCCUGGAGGAGCAAGGGCUCCCCCAGGUGGCCGUGACUGUCGGCGCUCUGCUCGACCUGGCCCCGCCCCGACACUCCAGCACCGCGGCGACCGCCACAACGUCAUCAAUCCCACCAGGACCGUCUGUCACCAUCUAGCCAUAUUUGCACCCCAUUGCACACGCGCAGUCAUCCUCCAGUCACCAGCCAAUCAGAGCUCAGCGUCUCUCAGCCCGCAUGAUGUCAUCAGAAAGUGUCCGAAGAGCCUGCAGGAGGGGGCUGGCACCGACAUGACGCCACAGUGACGGGUCUGAGCUCCUAUUGGUCAGUGCUGUAUGUAUGGAAGCCCAUUUUGGGGGGGCGCCGCCCAAUGACCUCGGCUGACAUGAAUUUAAAAAGGUAAAAGAUGAAUCGAAUAUUUUAGGUCAUGUCUGAAUGGGGGGAAAAAAAACAAAAAACAUUUCAUAUGUGAGACCUUCAGGCACUGCAGAGGUGCGGGUUCAAUUCCCCACGGCCACUUCCUGCCCGCUCUCUGCUGACUAAUAAAGGCUCAGUGCCCCCAAAAUACAAAGUAGAUUAAAACGUUCAGACAUUUGCAGCGAGUGUGUUUCCAUUUGUGGGCAGAAAUGGGCUUCCAUCCCACCUGUGCCGUCGCUCUGCAGGUGAGGGAGCAGCUGAUGGGCAGUGAUGGAGACGAGCCAAGCUGAACUGAUCUUUACUCUCGCUGCAAGGUUUGUUAGAAAUCAGCCUCUCACGGGUGGAGGUUUCGCUCUGGACCUGCUACACUCAUCACAUCUCACAGCGCCGCAGAGCAGACCAGAAAGGAAGGGACAAAUAAUGUGACCAGAUUUUAAUGCUGCACCUGGUGUAGGCAGAGCUAAUCUACUCCACCUGUGUGUGCUGAUUGUUACAAGUGAUAAUAAUGAGUGCCUUCACCAUGAAGCCACAUCUGCUUGUGUUUGAGCAGCGGUCCAAAGAAAAUCCUCCACGUGUGACAAGCCGAAAAAAUAAAAGCUUACCACCUUUGACCUUUGACCCCUGGGUCUGAGGUAAAGAGGGUAAGAUGAUCAUCUGAUGUAAGAACAAAGAAAAAUAACCCAGAGGCAAAGGGGGAGUUGGUUUAUUCUACCUGUCAGGUUCUCUUGUGAAUCCGUGCAGUUUAACAUCUGUGUGACGUUGGUUUUACAUGCAGUCGGUCACCUGUGUGGGUGGAGCUUAGAAACUAAUAUGCGUAAUUAUUGAGCCCGUGUUAAACACAGAAGACUCAAAACUAUAAAACUCUGUUAGGUGGAUCGUUCUGCUCAUUCCAACGUUGGCUCUCACAGAGCGGCUUAGCGUGAGUCGUGUCAUCCUGAGCCUCAGCUCAGCCGCUGUCUCACACAAGCCGGUUCAGCUCCUCCACCUUUAAACGUGCUUUAUUCUGAUUGGCUGCAUCUCACAAGCAGAAGACUUGAACAGUAGAUGGGUGGAGCUUCUCUCUGUGACAUCACACAGAUUAAGGAAUAGAAAAAAACUCAUAAUUCCCAGUAGCUGCAGACACACUGAAUUUCCUGUUUAACAUGAACAUUUGCCAUAGAAACAGGAAGUGAGAAAGGGAAAAGCACUUUAAUAAAAAAAAAAAAAAAAAGAUAAGUAUUUAAUGUUCUCAGUAACAGCUGAUUGAUCAAUAAAACCUGAAACUGUCCUGUCUCACACUGAGAUAAAGUUGCAAUGCUACUAAGGGCUAACGGAAGCUAACAGCAGUUUUGUUUUGUUGUUUAAAUGACACUAAUGUAUCUUGUGGCUAAUAUAGCUUAAAGUUAAUAUUGGCAAAGAUAAACUUAUUGUAAGCUACAGUUAAUGGCUAUCUGUGACCUGGCUAAGAUGAGUGUGCUUACUUUAAAAUGAUAAUAGAAAUAAAACUAUUCCCAGAUUACCCGUUGCUAACCGUGACGAUUCUGGAUUUGCUUCAGUCUGAAAAUGUAACUGACUGUUAAGGCUAACACUAUUAAAACAGAAUAAAUGUGUUCAAUCACGCCGAUCAUGCUAGUCAUGUUUGCAGGGAGAGAGGCGUAGCAGUCUGUUAACUAGCUGCUAGCUGGGAGACUAGCUUGAAAUAGGUAGCUAUAAAAGUAUCGUGAUGAGUUCAGAGUUAACAUGAACUACAGCUAGGAAGUGGCCUAAGCUAACGAGUAAGCAGUAAUCUAAAAUUGAAUAGGCUCUCUGCUAACUCUGCGUAAGACUAUAAUAAGACUAACUUUAUGAACUGUUAGAUUACAUUACUUAAUAUUAUAUCUGACACAGCUUGAAAGAUACUGACAUUUCAAAAGUGUUCCGAAACUAUUUUAACAUGGCUAACUGGUAAAGAAAGCUAACACUAAUGGUACUCUUAUGUCGAGCUAACCACAGAGGGUAGCUAAGAUAAAGUCAGGUGAAGCUAACAGCUUGUUUCUAAUCUGAAAACAGUCGACGAUGGCUUAGUUUAUAGCAUGAUUGCUAAAUGCUAAUGUUACAGUAUUGGGUUUGAGCAUGCCCAGUACUGAUAUUGUCAAAGUAAUUAUUUAUUUUUCCUUUUUGUUUUUUUUAAAGUUUAUUUAGUUUUAGUUUUAUUUAUUUUUUUUAUGCUUUUAGUUUUGCUUUAGGGGGCGGGGCCACUCUUCUGCCGCUCACCCACCUGUGAGCUACUUGCUCACAGUUAAUAAUAGCCCAAAAGAAGCAGCGAGGGCAAAGUGUGGUUCGGUUCGGCUCUGUUCGUCUCCAUCUUUCCUUAUUAUGGUGGACACUUUCAUCUUGCCGCUGAUGAAGAGGAGGAUGUCUGAACCCUGAACUCUGAAUGGCAGGAUGUCGUCUCUGUAUAGUUUUUACUAAUGUCACUGUGGUUUAGGUCAAUCAUGUGACCUGGCUUUGUGAUCACCUGAUCGGACCUUUGUCACAUGUACAGAUGAGGGUGAUCGGGUGGUUUCUGUUGCAUGCUGGGACGUUUUUCACCUUGUAAAGGUGGCCCGACUGUUGUGUACAAUUAUAUCCUGUAAAUAGAAACGUACUGAUGAUGCUCUGUAUAUGAGGCCGAAACCUGGGUGUUACUAUGACAACAGAGAUGUUCGUGUUGCCAUGGCAACCAUGGGGGGGUUCUUCUCCUGUCAGUGAAGUAAGCAAACCGCUGCUGUACUGUAAUUUUAUUUAUAAAAGUUUGUCCUGACAACAGUGAUCAAAGCGAUACCUGCUUAGCGUCUCACUCCAACUGGAGCUCCAAAAGGCUCCAACUGCACAAACACAGUCAGGAGGUGCAGUUCAGGUGAAGCAGACUGCUAGCAGCUAUAGCCGCCUGUGUCACCAUCCACCUUUCAGUCAGAAGCCACGCCCCUAAUAAUGCAAACAGGUGUCAUGAAUGGGCCGGACAGUUUGUGUAUCAGGCUGUAAACGUGUGUGGGGCUGACUCACUGCUGCCUCUGCUGGACAUUAGAGGAACUGCAGCACAGUGAGCCUGCCGUCCUACAGUGGGCAUGGCCUCUGUGUACAGUGAUGUCACGUAUCUGAGCUGCUGCUGCUUCACUGACCGGAGGAGAAGACUGUGUUUUUAAUUUAAACUGUAAAGAUGAGUAAAAGGGGCUGGUGCUGUGUUCAGGUGGCGUAGGACAUCAGCAUGCUGACACUACACUAAACACUUGCUGAAGUCUCAGCACGAGAGCACAACUUGAACAACCUGAAUUAUGACAAGCAGGCUGGGCCCCGCCCCUGAACCACCUCCACCAAUCAGCUCAUCUUCAGUGGACUCACCUGAGACCUGAGUGAACCUGAUGGGACAGGUGAGGCGGCUUAGAGGUUUCAGACAGGUGAUGAUGUACAAAUGUUUUCUUCUUCAGGCGCUCGUCUUGUGGCAGCAGCGGGUCACGUGACGGGCUGUCAGAUGGGCGGCUGUUUUUCCACUCGUGUGUUUUUGCUGUUUCAGUCAUAAAAUAAAUAUUAUAGUAUGGCUUUGAUGCUUUUAUUGUGUCAACACCACACACAGGAAGUGGUGAAAAACAUGUGGCCAAAAAACGAGAACGCCAUCAGCUGAUUGUGUUCAUACUGUAAAUGUUUCCUAUGUUUUCUGUUUUUCUCUCCUUGGUGGUUUUUUGUGUUUCUGUGAAUAAAGUAGAAAUAUUUGUCACA